UGCUAGAGGACGAGAGUUCGUGGGAG
rnacentral:sRNA from 1 species